CCAUCACCUAGCAACAGGAAGAUAAUACCUUCUCUCCUCCAACAGAACAAGAAUGUUUUUCCUAUAAAUUACUGUGACUUCUCAAGAACAAUGAACUUCACGCACUCUAUCUUAAUAUUGCUGAUUGACGUGGUCUUCCUUCUUCAUAUCCAAACCACCGUUCUUCCCAUCACAUAAGUGCUGCUCAGGGAUCCAGGACUAUGAGUGAUGGGAGGAGAAGCUGCCACAGAGCCUCUGCAUGGUGGUCCUCACGACAGACCCCUGGUCAGGGGGGUCCCAUCCCCAGCCAUCACACUGAAGUUUGGGAGCAGAGGACACCCCACACAACAGGAUAACAGUGGCAACUCUCAGUGGGGAAGUUGACCAAAAUAUUUGGAAGUUCUUUGAAAGAAGGAAAAGAGAAAAGAAGGAACAGGGCAGGGGUGGGUGGAAAGGUGGGAUCUAAUCCAUUGAACGAGCCCAUUCGGCGUUGGCGCAGAAAUCAUGGCAUACCUUUUAUCAGCCCCAAGAUCAUCAAGUUUUCUGAUAGUCAAGCACUGUUCAAGAAGCACAGGUGAAAGAAAAGAUGCAAGUGAGAAUGUUCUCUGCAGAUCCUUUAUGCAAAGGAACUAGAUUUGCAAAGCCCUUUAGCAUAUUGUGAUGGUGAAUUUUAUGUGUCAACUGGGAUAGGCCUUGAUGCCUAGAUAUUUGGUCGAACACUGGUCGGGGUGUUGCUGUGAAGGACUGUGAGGGCCAACAGGACAGGGGCCGUUCCCAUCUCAUUCAUCUGGGUAGCCCUAGUGCCUAGUGGGAAUGCUGCAUGAAGGAACGCAUGACCUGUGGAGACCUUCCUCCUCUCUGGUUUCCCAGGUGAGUCUAUAUAAAUUAUCCUUCCUUUGUAGCCCAAUGGGUGUACUUUCCUCUACUUUGAUUUACCUCCAAAGAUCUUCACUCUUUCAACCUUUAAAAAAAUCUGUGCCAAGAGUCCAUGAAAGGUUCACAUGUAUGUGUGCACACACAUAAUAGACAUGUGCACACACGCACACGCAUGCACAUCUCUACAUUCACUUACUCUUGCAAAUAACAAUAUAUUCAUUUAUCAAGCAAAGUAGUGUUAAAGUGAUGGGGAAUGCCAGGAACAGGCAGGAAGAAUGAGAGACUGAAUCCAAUUACGGCUAUAUUAUUUUCUGGGUCAAGCAGGAUUGUGCAAAAGUCUUCAAACCUAUAAAAAGAAGAGCAGAGACUCAGUCUGAUUCCAGGGCCAGUUCCUUCCCCCCACCCACCGCCCAGCUGCCAUUUACCCCAGCCUAGUGGUGCUAUGCCAUGUACACUGAACAUGGGUAUUUCUUCAAGAAUUGUUAUUGGAAACAAAAGCAUUGAGGAAGAAAAAUAAUGCAUUGGCAGAUAAACAGGCUUUCAUCUCCAGAAAUCAGGCCGAGUAUUUGGAGGGGACACAUAUGCAACGACUGAGAAUGAGGGUGGCACGCGGUGGACGCCAGGCCCUGGCUCCAAGGACUCCCUGUGUAGCCUCCACCAUCCCCUCUAGACCUUCAGUUACUCACACGCAAUAUCCUUUUGCUGGGAGGGGUCGAAAUGGCAAAGACCUUGGAGCUGACAUAGACUCUCCCACCCCCUACUUCUUGCAACCCUACACCCAGAGACAGAAAACGUGUGCUAUCCAAACAGUCUCAUCUGAAGAGGUUGCCAAUGUGGGCACCCCCAGGCAAGAUGUGCAAGCAGGACUCGCCUGUGGUCCCCUCCCAUUCACCCCAAUUCCCACGAAGUCUAAAGAGAAGUCUCUAGAUAAGGCUAUAAGUACACCCCAGCCCUGACAUGGCAGGAGCUGAGACCUGGAAAAGCUAAGGUAUUUAAUAAAUGCUGUAAAUGCCUUUAGCCUUUCCAGUUAACUCCUCCAGCUGAAAGAAAAGCUCAAGCACCA